AAACGUAGGUGGCGAACGUUAUCCGGAUUUACUGGGCGUAAAGCGCUCGCAGGCGGCUUCGUAAGUCUGACGUGAAAGCUCCCGGCUUAACUGGGAGAGGCCGUUGGAUACUGCGGAGCUUGAGGGCAGGAGAGGAGAGUGGAAUUCCCGGUGUAGCGGUGGAAUGCGUAGAUAUCGGGAGGAACUCCAGUGGCGAAGGCGACUCUCUGGCCUGACCCUGACGCUCAGGAGCGAAAGCGUGGGGAGCGAACAGGAUUAGAAACCCUAGUAGUCCC
rnacentral:rRNA from 1 species